GGAGAGUUUGAUCAUGGCUCAGAACGAACGCUGGCGGCAGGCCUAACACAUGCAAGUCGAGCGCGCCUUCGGGUGAGCGGCGGACGGGUUAGUAACGCGUAGGAACGUACCCUUCUCUACGGAAUAGCCUUUGGAAACGAAGAGUAAUACCGUAUACGCCCUUUGGGGGAAAGAUUUAUCGGAGAAGGAUCGGCCCGCGUUAGAUUAGAUAGUUGGUGGGGUAACGGCCUACCAAGUCUACGAUCUAUAGCUGGUUUUAGAGGAUGAUCAGCAACACUGGGACUGAGACACGGCCCAGACUCCUACGGGAGGCAGCAGUGGGGAAUCUUAGACAAUGGGCGCAAGCCUGAUCUAGCCAUGCCGCGUGAGUGAUGAAGGCCUUAGGGUCGUAAAGCUCUUUCGCCUGUGAUGAUAAUGACAGUAGCAGGUAAAGAAACCCCGGCUAACUCCGUGCCAGCAGCCGCGGUAAUACGGAGGGGGUUAGCGUUGUUCGGAAUUACUGGGCGUAAAGCGCACGUAGGCGGAUUGGAAAGUUGGGGGUGAAAUCCCGGGGCUCAACCCCGGAACUGCCUCCAAAACUAUCAGUCUAGAGUUCGAGAGAGGUGAGUGGAAUUCCAAGUGUAGAGGUGAAAUUCGUAGAUAUUUGGAGGAACACCAGUGGCGAAGACGGCUCACUGGCUCGAUACUGACGCUGAGGUGCGAAAGUGUGGGGAGCAAACAGGAUUAGAUACCCUGG
rnacentral:rRNA from 1 species